GCAAGAGAAAAUUACUUCGAAAUUGCCAAUACGAAAGAAUUACGAAUUUUCGGACCAUAGAUAAUCCUCAGCGACUUGGCACUGAUGAUUCAAUUGUGAAAGCAUUUCGCCAGCCGGAUAUGGCAUUAAAAUAAUACAUUAACUUCACCAAACGUUGCGUCGCCCACACAAAAAUGUGAUUAAUUUAAAGGAAGGCAUUUCGGUGGUGUAGGAAACUCACAAAGUUAUUAACGGAGAGUCCCCGCCUAAUACAAUUCACGAGUAAUAGCAUUGUAAUAAAAACAAAUUUCCACAAA